ensembl:rRNA 5S_rRNA 5S ribosomal RNA
GUCUAUGGCCAUAUCACCCUGAAUGCGCCCAAUCUCAUCUGAUCUCAGAAGCUAAGCAGGGUUGGGCCUGGUAUGUACUUGGAUGGGGGAUCUAGAUACACCAAACCACAGAAA